rnacentral:rRNA from 1 species
GACGAACGCUGGCGGCGUGCCUAAUACAUGCAAGUUGAGCGCUGAAGGUUGGUACUUGUGGCGACUGCAUGAGGAGCGAACGGGUGAAUAACGCGUGGAGCCUCUGCCUGUCAGCGGGGGACCACAUUUGGACACGAGUGCUAAUCCCGCAUGAACACUUUCAACACAAUGUUUGAGUGUGAAAGAUGGAAUUUCAUCACUCACACAUGAUCUCGCGUUGUAUUAGGUGGGUGGUGAGGUAAAGGCUCACGAAGGCGAUGAUACCUAGCCAACCUGAGAGGGUGAUCGGCCACAUUGGGACUGAGACACGGCCCAAACGCACACGGGAGGCAGCAGUAGGGAAUCUGCGGCAAUGGACGAAAGUCUGACCGAGCAACGCCGCGUGAGUGAAGAAGGUCUCCGGAUCGUAAAACUCUGUUGGUAGAGUAGAAAGUUGGUGCGAGUGGAAAGCUCAGCAAGUGACGGUAACUACUCAGAAAGGGACGGCUAACUACGUG